rnacentral:rRNA from 1 species
AUUGAACGCUGGCGGCAGGCCUAACACAUGCAAGUCGAGCGGGAACUUCGGUUCUAGCGGCGGACGGGUGAGUAAUGCGUAGGAAGCUACCCGACAGAGGGGGAUACCAGUUGGGAACGACUGUUAAUACCGCAUAAUGUCUACGGACCAAAGUGUGGGACCUUCGGGCCACAUGCUGUCGGAUGCGCCUACGUGGGAUUAGCUAGUUGGUGAGGUAAUGGCUCACCAAGGCGACGAUCCCUAGCUGGUUUGAGAGGAUGAUCAACCACACUGGAACUGAGACACGGUCCAGACUCCUACGGGAGUCAGCAGUGGGGAAUAUUGGACAAUGGGCGAAAGCCUGAUCCAGCCAUGCCGCGUGUGUGAAGAAGGCCUUCGGGUUGUAAAGCACUUUCAGUAGGGAGGAAGAGUUGAGUGUUAAUAGUACUCAGCUUUGACGUUACCUACAGAAGAAGCACCGGCUAACUCUGUGCCAGCCGCCGCAGUAACAC